rnacentral:rRNA from 1 species
UACGUAGGGUGCGAGCGUUGUCCGGAAUUAUUGGGCGUAAAGGGCUCGUAGGCGGUUUGUCGCGUCGGGAGUGAAAACUCAGGGCUCAACCCUGAGCCUGCUUCCGAUACGGGCAGACUAGAGGUAUGCAGGGGAGAACGGAAUUCCUGGUGUAGCGGUGAAAUGCGCAGAUAUCAGGAGGAACACCGGUGGCGAAGGCGGUUCUCUGGGCAUUACCUGACGCUGAGGAGCGAAAGUGUGGGGAGCGAACAGG